rnacentral:tRNA from 1 species
AGUUCUUUGUUUUGGAAACCCAUAACUUUGAAAGUUAUAAAAAGACGUUCGAAUCGUCUAAGAGCUU